AGCUUCUGCAAAUAUUCCAGGGAAAAUUCUGGACACAUUGGAUGGUGAUGGGAAUGGCUUUGAUCAUCGUCAAAAUGUUGGCUCCAACACCAGGGCACUUUGUGUAAACAGAAAAUUGAUCAAAAUGUAUUCCUAUUAAAACAAGAAUUCUGAUUUACAAGAUUGUAUGGAUAUAGUACAUCUAAUGCAAUGGGAUGGAAUCUGCCAUGUAUUAAAUUACUGUACUUGUUUCCAAUCUACCAUAUGGAUGUGAGGAACAUUGUAUGUCAUGAUAUUACAAACUUGUAUAUGUACAGCAACUUAACAAGUUAUUGGACAAAAAUGAUGGCCAACAAUAGACACUAUGAGCACUGAAUGAAUACGAUAAUCUACAUAUUGGGCAGAAAACAAUGGUAACACUUGUUUACCAAAUGAACACAAACAAAAGGCCGUCAUUACUUGCAACGAACUUAAUCAUACCAUGUUAAAAGACAUCUAUCCUCCUCCGCAGGCCAUACAGCCCGUAAUGAGUAUGCCCGUUCACAGGUUGAAAUUUGAGACGAAGGCUUUUUUGUUUCCCACCAAUUUUCUUUUCUUGAAAGGCCUGCAGAGGAGGUAGGAGUAGGACAUCUAUUUGUUCUUCCUAAUUACUUUCUUCCUAAUUAUGUUCUGCCUAAUUAUUUUCAUAAGUGGAGACUAAUUAAGUGAUGAUUUUUAUUGACAUUGUAUAAAUAUAAAAUUCCG